rnacentral:rRNA from 1 species
UAGGGAAUCUUCGGCAAUGGACGGAAGUCUGACCGAGCAACGCCGCGUGAGUGAAGAAGGUUUUCGGAUCGUAAAGCUCUGUUGUAAGAGAAGAACGAGUGUGAGAGUGGAAAGUUCACACUGUGACGGUAUCUUACCAGAAAGGGACGGCUAACUACGUGCCAGCAGCCGCGGUAAUACGUAGGUCCCGAGCGUUGUCCGGAUUUAUUGGGCGUAAAGCGAGCGCAGGCGGUUAGAUAAGUCUGAAGUUAAAGGCUGUGGCUUAACCAUAGUAGGCUUUGGAAACUGUUUAACUUGAGUGCAAGAGGGGAGAGUGGAAUUCCAUGUGUAGCGGUGAAAUGCGUAGAUAUAUGGAGGAACACCGGUGGCGAAAGCGGCUCUUUGGCUUGUAACUGACGCUGAGGCUCGAAAGCGUGGGGAGCAAACAGGAUUAGAUACCCUGGUAGUCCACGCUGUAAACGAUGAGUGCUAGGUGUUAGACCCUUUCCGGGGUUUAGUGCCGUAGCUAACGCAUUAAGCACUCCGCCUGGGGAGUACGACCGCAAGGUUG